ACUCAAAUGAAUUGACGGGGGCCCGCACAAGCAGCGGAGCGUGUGGUUUAAUUCGAUGCAACGCGCAGAACCUCACCUGGGCUUGACAUGCCGGAAGUAGGACCCUGAAAGGGGAACGACCCGUCAAGGCGGGAGUCGGCACAGGUGCUGCAUGGCUGUCGUCAGCUCGUGCCGUGAGGUGUUGGGUUAAGUCCCGCAACGAGCGCAACCCUCGCUGGUAGUUACCAUGUCUACCGGGACCGCCGGGUUCAACCCGGAGGAAGGUGGGGAUGACGUCAAGUCAGCACGGCCCUUACGUCCAGGGCUACACACACGCUACAAUGGCCGGUACAACGGGACGCCAAGGGGUGACCCGGAGCAAAUCCCAGCAAAGCCGGUCUCAGUUGGGAUUGCAGGCUGCAACUCGCCUGCAUGAACGCGGAGUUGCUAGUAACCGCCGGUCAGCACACGGCGGUGAAUACGUUCCCGGGCCUUGCACACACCGCCCGU
rnacentral:rRNA from 1 species